CCAUGACUUUUGACAGUGACUUCAGAGCACAUCUGGGAGACCCAUGUGGCCCAGGCUCCACACAGAGGAUACAGAGGACCAACUGUAUACCACUUCAUGUGAUGUUGGAGUGCUGUUCUGCACGCCUAACUUUAUGGCUUGGUGGAUCAGACAAUGCCCAAUGCUAAAUAGGGGAGUAGAAUGGGAAUGUGAUAAAAAGUACCACCUCUGCAUCCUUCAAGUCCUUGAUGGUGGUACUAAUCUCUGCAAGCUCUACAAGAAUGCAGUAUUGUUUUUGGUUUGCUGUUUUUCUAGAUAGAGGCAGGUAAGUGGCUUCCACUUUAUAGCGUAAUUGCCCUCACUCUUCAGGUCAGGAAACCAGUGUAGGGAUUCUGCUAAUUGUUGAGUAUGUCUAUUCCAAUUAUUCUGCAGCUACAGAGAUAACAAGACGACCCACUGCAAGACAGACCUAAACUAAAACUCCAUUGAUCACCUAACCUCCCUAAGCCCCUACUCUCACUUGUGAACCAGAGUGAUGCAUUAGUUUUCCUGGGGUACCCUGAGUCUGAGUUCAGAACCAAUGUCCAGUAAUUCCCCCAAAGUCUGAUUAUUCCCUUUUCCCCAAUGCACAGUCAACUUGGUAAAGUGCUAUAGGUCCCUUUGGGGAAGGCUGAGAGAAAAAUGAACAGUAUACAAUUUUGGUAAUGCAGUGGGGACACAGCCUCCUCAUUAUUUAAGGAGAUAUGGGUCUGCAAACUGGCCCAAGUCUUGGAAUUGAUUCAGGAGCUGUGACUCCGUUUUUUUGAUUCGAGUUAGACUUUUAUUCACUUGAUUCUUCUUUUUAUACAGAACAGAUAAGAAUUUAGUAGGCUUUCCAUCUCUUUUAUUUCUAUGGAUACUAUGACCAGCUAGCUAAUGCCAUAAGUCUCUGUAAAUCGGACUUUCUAACUACAGUUUUGACUUUACUGUCCAUUACAGUAACCAUGUUCACCUUGUCUUUGGUGAUUAAAUGCUGCCACUUGGCCCCUGCCAUCCUGGGAUCCAGUUACUCUCCUUAUACUUAAGAAUCCCAUUCAGUGGCAGCAGUUCCCACUGUAAUUUCUGACCUAUACAGAAGAGCAACCACAGAGCUCUUUAAAAAUAUUGGAACUCCCUCACAAAUUUAUUUCUCAUAGUCAUAACAGAAAGUGUGUCCUGAGCUAGAUGUGGUAGCUCACACCUAUAAUCCCAGCACCUUGGGUGGCCAAGGUAGGAGAAUCGCUUGAGCUCAGGAGUUUGAAGCCUGCUUGGGCAACGUAGCAAGACCUUGCCUCUAUAAAAAUUUUUAAAAUUAGCCAGGUAUGAUGGUGCAUAUAGUCCCAGCUACUCAGGAGGCUGAGGCAGGAGGGUCUCUUGAGCCCAGGAGUUUGAGGGUACAGUGUGCUAUGGUCACACCACUGCACUCCAGCCUGGGCAAUAGAGUGAGCCCUGACUCUAAAAAAUAAUAAUAAAUAGAAAAAGAAAGCAUGUCCUCUUGUUAAAGAUUUUUCAAUGACACUUGUUCAAGGAUGGUAAGGCUGACUUUUUCAAGAUCAUCAGAAUAGAUACAGGGACCAAUGCAAUAGCAUUUUACAGCGAGGGAGAGAGAUUGGGCUCAACUCUGAAUACAGUUUGGGUAAGUGGGAAUUUAUUGCCAAGGAGUAGGGUGGGGGUCAGUGGAUUGAAAAUUACUAAGAGGAAACUUCAAGAGUAAGGAAAGAUUCUGGCUUAACUGACCUAACAGGAUUCUUGCUGAAAACAGGCUGGGGUGUUGAGACACUACCUGGGAGAUGGUGGAGGAUGAAGCCCUGAUCAGAUAUGGAGGAUGAUCAGAUAUUGAGCAUGGAGGUUCUUUUUUUUUUUAUGCUUUAAGUUCUAGGGUACAUGUGCACAACGUGCAGGUUUGUUACAUAUGUAUACAUGUGCCAUGUUGGUGUGCUGCACCCAUCAACUCGUCAUUUACAUUAGGUAUUUCUCCUAAUGCUAUCCUUCCCCCCUCUUCCCAUCCCACAACAGGCCCCAGUGUGUGAUGUUCCCCGCCCUGUGUCCAUGUGUUCUCAUUGUUCAAUUCCCACCUAUGAGUGAGAACAUGCGGUG
rnacentral:lncRNA from 10 species